UACAGAGGUCUCAAGCGUUGUUCGGAUUCAUUGGGCGUAAAGGGUGCGUAGGCGGCGCGGUAAGUCGGGUGUGAAAUCUCGGAGCUUAACUCCGAAACUGCAUUCGAUACUGCCGUGCUUGAGGACUGGAGAGGAGACUGGAAUUUACGGUGUAGCGGUGAAAUGCGUAGAUAUCAAGAGGAACACCUGAGGUGAAGACGGGUUGCUGGGCUGACACUGACGCUGAGGCGCGAAAGCUAGGGUAGCAAACGGG
rnacentral:rRNA from 1 species